GACGAACGCUGGCGGCGCGCCUAACACAUGCAAGUCGAGCGAUGAAAUUUUAACCGAUCUCUUCGGAGAGAAGAUAAAAUGGAUUAGCGGCGGACGGGUGAGUAACACGUGAGAAACCUGCCUUUCACAAGGGGAUAGCCUCGGGAAACCGGGAUUAAUACCCUAUGACACAUUUCCUUCGCAUGGAAGAAAUGUUAAAACUCCGGUGGUGAAAGAUGGUCUCGCGCCUGAUUAGCUAGUUGGUGGGGUAACGGCCCACCAAGGCCAUGAUCAGUAACCGGGCUGAGAGGGUGAACGGUCACAUUGGAACUGAGACACGGUCCAAACUCCUACGGGAGGCAGCAGUGGGGAAUAUUGCACAAUGGAGGAAACUCUGAUGCAGCGACGCCGCGUGAGCGAUGAAGGCUUUCGAGUCGUAAAGCUCUGUCCUAUGGGAAGAUAAUGACGGUACCAUAGGAGGAAGCCCCGGCUAACUACGUG
rnacentral:rRNA from 1 species